GGCCUCCUGGUGCUUACCACAGGCUGUGUUUUUUACACUGACUGUAUAGAUAGAGGAGGCAAAGUAAACCUACCCUAUAUAAACUCCAGCCAGGCCCUUUGGCUGGCCUGUAUUAUGAAUGGGGGUACAUAG